rfam:Glycine soja cultivar W05 scaffold3791_12, whole genome shotgun sequence.
GUCCCUUUGGGGGCAUCCUAUACAAAUGGAAUGAUACAGAGAAGAUUAGCAUGGCCCCCGUGCAAGGAUGACACGCACAAAUUGAGAAAUGGUCCAAAUUUUG